CUGGCUCUUCCGGCAACGCCCUUCACGUGGCAGUCACGUGAGAGGCGCUGGGUGGGGCCCCGCGGCUGAGUUUCUCGGACUUGUGUCGGGAAGACGAAAAAACGAAGCUCUCAGGAGACACAUAUGUUACACACAACUGGCAGUAGCAGAGAUGUGAUCCAAACCCAGGCUGCUGAGUAUUGUGAAAAGAGAUCUGAGCUUGGAAGAUUGGACACGGAUUCCAGUAGUGAUGCCCAACCAAGUGGAGAGAUUUCUCUGAGACUCAGUUUUAUCAAACAAAAGCCAGAAAUUUUACUUGGUCUGUUUGGUUUAGAAGAAUCCCGAAGCAUCAAGUAAAAUAAUUAAUGUGAAUAUAAUUUUAAAAAUAUGAAGUUUUAGGAAAAUAAAUAUCACUCAUAAUCA